rnacentral:rRNA from 1 species
UGGGGAAUAUUGGACAAUGGGGGGAACCCUGAUCCAGCCAUGCCGCGUGUGUGAAGAAGGCCUUAUGGUUGUAAAGCACUUUAAGCGAGGAGGAGGGUACUGGUAUUAAUACUACCAGGUACUGGACGUUACUCGCAGAAUAAGCACCGGCUAACUCUGUGCCAGCAGCCGCGGUAAUACAGGGGGUGCAAGCGUUAAUCGGAAUUACUAGGCGUAAAGCGCGCGUAGGUGGUUCGUUAAGUUGAAUGUGAAGGACCCGGGCUCAACCUGCGAACUGCAUCCAAAACUGGCGAGCUAGAGUAUGGCAGAGGGUGGUGGAAUUUCCUGUGUAGCGGUGAAAUGCGUAGAUAUAGGAAGGAACACCAGUGGCGAAGGAGACCACCUGGGCUCAUACUGACACUGAGGUGCGAAAGCGUGGGGAGCAAACAGG